UCCUGCUCCAUCCAGACUGAAGAGAGAAAAGAGGGACACUGGCCUGGAUCCUCUCUUGGUCCAUCCUUGCUGACCAGGGCAUAAUCCAGAGGGCAUAGAUUAUAAUGUUUUGUAGAUUAUGAAGACUAAACAGAUGAAACAUGCUGCUAAAGGGGAAAGAAUGCCUCAUUCCAUUCUCUGAUCUUGUAUCCAUGUAAAAUAGACAGAGUAUUACAUGUACUGAAUGCCCAUAUGUAUAACAAACAUGCACUUAUAAUUGCACUGGUUUACCUGUAAUUGAGUUACAAAAGAAUUUAAAAAAUGGGAAUUUAAGAUAAAGAGAGCUUCAAACUGAACUAUGGAGAGCGCAUGCGCGCACACACACACACGCAAACACACACACGAGUUUGGAAAUAAGGACUGAACUGAAUGGAACAUGUAGAAUACUUUACAUGUGUUUUCAAGAGAGAUUUAAAAGAGGAAGGCUAGAGGCUUGACAGACCAGGUCAAAGAGGGAGCUCCGGGCAUAUGAGAA